rnacentral:rRNA from 1 species
CCAGCAGCCGCGGUAAUUCCAGCUCCAAUAGUGUAUCUUAAUGUUGUUGCAGUUAAAAAGCUCGUAGUUGAAUUUCUGGCACUCUGGCUGAUCUACGGAGAUGCAUGGGGUCGUCAUCCGCGUUGGAACCGUGUGCAUCGCAAGAUCAUGCGGGGAAGGCGCAUUUUACUUUGAAGAAAUUAGAGUGUUCCAGGCAGGCUAUGCUUGAAUAUUACAGCAUGGAAUAAUGGAAUAGGACUUGUCCUUUUCGUUGGUUAAUUGGACUAGUAAUGAUUAACAGGGACAGUUGGGGGCAUUCGUAUUGGGCAGUCAGAGGUGAAAUUCUUUAAUUUGCUCAAGACGCA